rnacentral:rRNA from 1 species
AUACGUAGGGUGCAAGCGUUGUCCGGAAUGAUUGGGCGUAAAGGGCGCGUAGGCGGCCCGGUAAGUCUGAAGUGAAAGUCCUGGUUUUAAGUUGGGAAUUGCUUUGGAUACUGUCGGGCUUGAGUGCAGGAGAGGUAAGUGGAAUUCCCAGUGUAGCGGUGAAAUGCGUAGAGAUUGGGAGGAACACCAGUGGCGAAGGCGACUUACUGGACUGUAACUGACGCUGAGGCGCGAAAGUGUGGGGAGCAAACAGGAUUAGAUACCCUGGUAGUCCACACUGUAAACGAUGAAUGCUAGGUGUAGGGGGUAUCGACCCCUUCUGUGCCGCAGUAAACACAAUAAGUAUUCCACCUGGGGAGUACGACCGCAAGGUUGAAACUCAAAUGAAUUGACGGGG